GACGAACGCUGGCGGCGUGCCUAAUACAUGCAAGUAGGACGCAGUUGCGAACGGGUGAGUAACGCGUAGGUAACUACCUAUUAGAGGGGGAUAACUAUUGGAAACGAUAGCUAAUACCGCAUACUAGUAGAUGGACCUGCGUUGUAUUAGCUAGUAGGUAGGGUAAUGGCCUACCUAGGCAACGAUACAUAGCCGACCUUGGAGGGUGAUCGGCCACACUGGGACGAGGACACGUCCCAGUCUCCUACGGGAGGCAGCAGGAGGGAAUCUGCUGCAAUGGGGGGAACCCUGACCGAGCAACGCGGCGUGAGUGAAGAAGUGUUUCGGAUCGUAAAGCUCUUGUGUUAAGGAAGCGGUACUUAACCAGAAAGGGACAGCUAACUACGUGCCAGCAGUCGCGGUAAUAC
rnacentral:rRNA from 1 species